UUGACCCUACGGGGGGCAGCAGUGGGGAAUAUUGCACAAUGGGGGAAACCCUGAUGCAGCAACGCCGCGUGAAGGAAGACGGUUUUCGGAUCGUAAACCUCUUUUGUCAGGGAACAAAGGCGGGGACUAGUCCCCGGAUGAGGGUACCUGAAGAAAAAGCAUCGGCUAACUCCGUGCCAGCAGCCGCGGUAAUACGGAGGAUGCGAGCGUUAUCCGGAUUUAUUGGGUUUAAAGGGUGCGCAGGCGGCCUGUUAAGUCAGCGGUAAAAGCCCGGGGCUCAACCCCGGCGAGCCGUUGAAACUGGG
rnacentral:rRNA from 1 species